GGCUCUAGAGAACAUGUGGUCCGCGUGAUCUGUAGAAGCCAGCCCUGCAUGUGCAUGUUUGCGUGUAUGUGUUUUUCCUAGGCUGACUCAUGGCACUGGAGCCCUUCUGGAAACAGCCCCACUUUUGUAGCCAGCCAGUUUACACGCACCCCUUCAGCUCCUCCUUGUUGCAAAUGCUAAGUCAAGAGGAAGAAGGAAAAUAAAUUCAAGAGCUGCUCUCGAGCAUCGAGAAGUCUCGGCACCACACCUCUUCAGAAGAGAGACCGGCCCCAGCUCUGACUCAGUCUCCUACAAAGCAGACUCUCCUCUUAAGGGACCACCUUUAUCUGAGCCUUCAGACAAAACUGGAAGAAACACGAGUCCUUGGGACUCUGCAGGCGGCGGGGGGCUGACAACCGGCAGGGAAAAGGGAAAGAUGGCAGACCCAGAAAUUGAGCUGUUCGUGAAGGUACCUUGGAGCGCACACGGCAGCUUUGGACUUGAACUACGUUUGUGAUGUAAAGUGACUGCGGGACUGUUUAUUCCUCAAGAGCGAGCAGAGAGGUGCUCUGGUGGCUCAGUCAGUGAUGUCCACCUCUGGAUUUCAGUGAACACCUGCCCGCUGAAGUGAAUGGAAUGGAUGUUCUCAUUGCUCCCCAUGCUGAGGAUGUACCAUCGGACCGUUUGAUCCUGAGCCAUGACCAAGCCGGGCAGCGUGUCCAUCACAUAGCCGUUGAUGGCUGGAGAAGAACAUGGAGAAGGCUGUUAAAGUCUAUUCUAGGGGCUCAGUCAGUGAAACGUCCGACAUCAGUUCAGGUCACGAUCUUGCGGUUUGCGGGUUCGAGCUCCG